CAAGCUUGACAGACAGAGCAAGGGGAGGGGCAUCGGUCUCUAAACUCAUCUCACAGUGAGCAGGAGCACACUGUCCUGGGAGAGCUGGAGGGCCAUGCUGGCUGUUGUACUUGCUCUUUUAUCUGGUGUUGGCGUGGAAGCCUACAUUGAACAGUGGCCAGGCAAAAUCCUUCAAAGAGCUGGAGACUCUUUGAACAUCUCCUGCCGUAGUAACCGUGCCUAUAUGUUCUGGUAUCAGCAGCCUCCAAGAAAUGGUUUGAAGUUAAUAGUCAGCAGUAGUACAUGGAGUAGUAACUCUUACGAGCAUGGUUACAGUGAGGCCAAGUUUGAAAUAACCAGAGAGAGUAGUUUUUACGCUCUGAUGACAAUCAAGAACUUGACAUCCAAGGACGAAGCUACGUAUUUUUGUGCUGCGAGCGAUCGCACGGUGUAGCAACGUGGUUGAACACUAAGAUAAAAUCCCCACCUUCUCUGGGUGAGAGAUGGAGUCUUUGAAAAAUGUGAGGCUGUCAGGAGAGGGGGAGAGGAAGAGGAGAAAGAAGACUAGGUAGAAGUUGGGGCAAUAGACC